rnacentral:rRNA from 1 species
GACGAACGCUGGCGGCGUGCUUAACACAUGCAAGUCGAACGGAAAGGCCCUGCUUUUGUGGGGUGCUCGAGUGGCGAACGGGUGAGUAACACGUGAGUAACCUGCCCUUGACUUUGGGAUAACUUCAGGAAACUGGGGCUAAUACCGGAUAGGAGCUCCUGCUGCAUGGUGGGGGUUGGAAAGUUUCGGCGGUUGGGGAUGGACUCGCGGCUUAUCAGCUUGUUGGUGGGGGAGUGGCUUACCAAGGCUUUGACGGGUAGCCGGCCUGAGAGGGUGACCGGCCACAUUGGGACUGAGAUACGGACCAGACUCCUACGGGAGGCAGCAGUGGGGAAUAUUGCACAAUGGGCGGAAGCCUGAUGCAGCAACGCCGCGUUCGGGAUGACGGCCUUCGGGUUGUAAACCGCUUUCGCCUGUGACGAAGCGUGAGUGACGGUAAUGGGUAAAGAAGCACCGGCUAACUACGUG